UAGUGGAGCAGGCCAGUGGCAUGGGCCAGAUACAGUCGGGGAGACAGAUAACCCGUCGAUUGGGAGGUCUCCAUCCAGAGAUCAUUUUCAGAAUUUGGGAGACCAUUUCCCCUGUCUUACAACUAUAUUCAAUCUGAGUCAGUUAUGAGGCAUUUCUUUUAUAAAGGGAGUUAAAUGCUUUUGUAACAGUAUGCUUGGUUUAAGGUUUAUGAAAGUUGUUGCAACUAUGCUGAGGUGGCUUUGUCUCCUGGAAAUCCCUUGACCAGAGUUGGAAAUCCCCAGCCCAGGUUGCAUCAUACAGCUAAGUGACACAUAGUGUCACCUGAGUGAGAUGGGAGUAGGCCUAAUGGCUAUGAUUAAUCUUGUAAUCACAAUAUGUCUCUUCAAGCAGACUACACUGAAGAGUUUCCUGUGAUGAUUGUUCAGGACACCAACAGCCCUUGCACAGAUGUCAUUGUUGCUAUCGUGCUGGAGUUUGAGAAGCCUUCUUCCAAACAUGAUUUGAUUUUAAGAAUAGAAUUAAGCCUUGAAAUAUGGUGAAGACUUCCUUUGUGUGAAACUAGGUUUGGACCUGCAAUUAAUUGACUAGUUUCCUCUGUUUAGAAGAGAACAUUUUUUUCUAAACUUCCCUCUAUUUUCUGGAAGCUGAAAGAGGACAAUGCCAGGACCACAUCUGGCAUCAACCAUAUAGAAAAGGGCAAAGUGGAAGGGGAUUUGGAAGCUUCUUUAACAACUUUGCAGGUAUGGUUUAUCUUUGCAUUUGUUUAAGCAUUAAUAAUUUCCUUCAAUAAUGUUUUGUAGCUGUCAGUGUUGAGAACAUUUUUCUUAGCUUUUUCGUAAGAAUCAUUUUUAAAUUUAACAUUUGUUUAUUACUAGUAUAUAGAAAUACUUCCGAUAUA
rnacentral:lncRNA from 1 species